rnacentral:rRNA from 1 species
UGAGUACGAGAUGCUACGGCAUCGAAGCAGUCUAUGUCAUACUUCCAAGAAAAGCUUGCACUGUCAGAAACAGAUAAUGCCUGUACCAUAACCGACACAGGUGGGUAGGUAGAGUAUACUAAGGGGCGCGAGAUAACUCUCUCUAAGGAACUCGGCAAAAUGACUCCGUAACUUCGGGAGAAGGAGUGCCUUAUUUUUAAGGUUGCAAUAACAAGAUCCAAGCAACUGUUUACCAAAAACACAGGUCUCCGCUAAGUCGUAAGACGAUGUAUGGGGGCUGACGCCUGCCCAGUGCCAGAAGGUUAAAGAAGUCGGUUAGCAUUCGCGAAGCUGGUAACUGAAGCCCUGGUGAACGGCGGCCGUAACUAUAACGGUCCUAAGGUAGCGAAAUUCCUUGUCGGGUAAGUUCCGACCCGCACGAAAGGCGUAAUGAUUUGGAUACUGUCUCGGAGAGGGGCUCGGUGAAAUAGACUUGUCUGUGAAGAUGCGGACUACCUGCACCUGGACAGAAAGACCCUAUGAAGCUUUACUGUAACUUGAAAUUGAAAUUGGACUUUAUUUGCGCAGUAUAGGUGGGAGGCGUUGAAAAUAUUCUUGCGGGAAUAUUGGAGCCAUCAGUGAGAUACCACUCUUGUAAUGUUAGAUUUCUAACUUUAUAUCAUUAUCUGGUUAAAGAACAGUUUCAGGCGGGCAGUUUGACUGGGGCGGUCGCCUCCCAAAUGGUAACGGAGGCGCACAAAGGUUUCCUCUGAACGGGUAGAAAUCGUAUCUAGAGUGUAAAGGCAUAAGGAAGCUUGACUGUGAGACCUACAAGUCGAGCAGGGACGAAAGUCGGUCUUAGUGAUCUGACGGUGCUGAGUGGAAAGGCCGUCACUCAACGGAUAAAAGUUACUCUAAGGAUAACAGGCUGAUCUCCCCCAAGAGUUCACAUCGACGGGGAGGUUUGGCACCUCGAUGUCGGCUCAUCGCAUCCUGGGGCGGUAGUACGUCCCAAGGGUUGGGCUGUUCGCCCAUGAAAGCGGUACGCGAGCUGGGUUCAGAACGUCGUGAGACAGUUCGGUCCAUAUCCGGUGUAGGCGUUAGAAUAUUGAGAGGAGCCUUCUUUAGUACGAGAGGACCGAGAAGGACAUACCUCUGGUGUACCAGUUAUCGUGCCAACGGUAAACGCUGGGUAGCUAUGUAUGGAGUGGAUAACCGCUGAAAGCAUCUAAGUGGGAAGCCCACCUCAAGAUAAGUA